GAUGAACGCUGGCGGCGUGCCUAAUACAUGCAAGUCGAGCGAAUGGAUUAAGAGCUUGCUCUUAUGAAGUUAGCGGCGGACGGGUGAGUAACACGUGGGUAACCUGCCCAUAAGACUGGGAUAACUCCGGGAAACCGGGGCUAAUACCGGAUAACAUUUUGAACCGCAUGGUUCGAAAUUGAAAGGCGGCUUCGGCUGUCACUUAUGGAUGGACCCGCGUCGCAUUAGCUAGUUGGUGAGGUAACGGCUCACCAAGGCAACGAUGCGUAGCCGAGCUGAGAGGGUGAUCGGCCACACUGGGACUGAGACCCGGCCCAGACUCCUACGGGAGGCAGCAGUAGGGAAUCUUCCGCAAUGGACGAAAGUCUGACGGAGCAACGCCGCGUGAGUGAUGAAGGCUUUCGGGUCGUAAAACUUUGUUGUUAGGGAAGAACAAGUGCUAGUUGAAUAAGCUGGCACCUUGACGGUACCUAACCAGAAAGCCCCGGCUAACUACGUGCCAGCCGCCGCUGUAA
rnacentral:rRNA from 1 species